rnacentral:rRNA from 1 species
CGUCAAAUCAUCAUGCCCCUUAUGUCUUGGGCUACACACGUGCUACAAUGGCUGAAACAAAGGGAAGCGACAGGGUAACCUGAAGCGGAUCUCAUAAAAACAGUCUCAGUUCGGAUUGUGGGCUGCAACCCGCCCACAUGAAGUCGGAGUUGCUAGUAAUCGCGGAUCAGCAUGCCGCGGUGAAUACGUUCCCGGGCCUU